UACGGGGGGGGCAAGCGUUGUUCGGAAUUACUGGGCGUAAAGGGCUCGUAGGCGGCCAACUAAGUCGGAUGUGAAAUCCCCAGGCUUAACCUGGGAAUUGCAUCCGAUACUGGAUGGCUUGAAUCCGGGAGAGGGAUGCGGAAUUCCAGGUGUAGCGGUGAAAUGCGUAGAUAUCUGGAGGAACACCAACGGCGAAGGCAGCUCGCUGGGACGGUACUGACGCUAAGGCGCGAAAGCGUGGGGAGCGAACAGG
rnacentral:rRNA from 1 species